UUUUAGACUGUGUCUCAGUCGCAACGAUUAAAACUGAACAUGGCAACGAUCAAAACCGCACAAAGAUGCAUACAGAAUGUUGAUGGACGUAUUUUCAGAUUUGGAGCAUGUCGGGUUGUGAUUUAGUGUUCAACUGGCAAAGAUCAAUGCCAUACAUCAUGGACGAUCGCGGACGAAGGUAUUGACAGGUCUGAACCAUAAAUGGGGAGGUUACCAUGGAAACGUACCUCUACAUAGAAGCAAUGAAGCUGCAGUAGUGUAAUAGCCAACCUGUACAAAGUUAUAUAGCAGAUUUCAGACUGUAGGAGGGUUACCAUGGAAACUUAAUCUACAUCUAGCCAUUGAUAUAAAUGGAUGACCUAUAUCGACGUCUACAAUCAUCAGUGAGAGAAAUUCUGCAAACGAUCACGUGAAUAUGCUUAGCUCCAAGACCUGUAAAUGAAUUCAGAAUGAUGGAGUACUUGGGAAAAUAUGUCGCAGCAGGAUAUAGGGAUGCAUCGCACUGCUCUUUAUCAUGAACAGGUUUGUGCAUUGCUACUUCUGUUACCAUUUUUGCAUGCUUUUCUCUGCAGAUUUUUCCAAAUUGGUGGCGGAUGUUUAAUACAAGCACAUGUGAAGAUAUAAUGUUGUAGAUGUUGCAACUAUGGUGCUUG
rnacentral:lncRNA from 1 species